GGGCCCAGAAUUCGAACCUAUGUGUCUGGACAGAGACUUCUGUUGUUACCUUUUUACUUGGUCAGAUUUGGUCUCUGUCAAGUGUUAUCACUGUAAAUAAAGGUAGUUCCAGAUGCCUGGACUGAGUUAGGAAGUUAAAUUGGGUCACUGUGUAGACCUCAGGGUGGCCUCGCUCUGUUCAUUGUGCAAAUAAGGUCUCAGCAGGGUGAGUGUGGCCCAGCACAUGGCUCUCUGGAGGCUGGACAUUCUCUGAGAAGGGUGGGAAGCUUCUUCUUGCCCAGAGUCUAGGUAAUGUUCACAUCUUAUAUCUGUCUAUACCAUCCUCUCCCACCAUGAUUGUGGUUUACCCACAGUGUGGCUCCAAACUUCUGGAGCUGUGUGGCCUGGGAACAGACAUUGCCUAAGAAUCAGAGUUGGUGGUUUCCAAGGAGAGAGAUGAUCUGGGUCUUCCCACAGGAAAUCAGGAGGAAGCCGAGAACAAGGCAACACAGUCUCCUGUGGGUCUCUGAGUCCCGACUGUCUCUUUGCCCCCGUCCCUCUGGAUGACACCCACUAGGACCGAAGGCAUUGGCUCUGGGGACAGCUGGAACAGUUAGGAGCUUCAUCACUGUUGUGCUGUGGAGCCAAAUCUGUUCCUAGAUGUUCACACCUCCCUGUUCUCUCACUUGGCAUCAGGUAUUCACAGCUCUCCAGGCACCCUCUCUAGAGCAGCAUGGAGUGCCAGCUCUCUCCAUCAGCUCUGUGGUAAGGUGGGCCAGAAAGGAGGAGAAACAGCAGAUGCCCAAGGCAAGCAUCACAUGACAUACCCAGGUGCUACCCCCCCUGGUCUCUCACCAGUGUUGCUCCGUGCUUGCUUCUGAGAGCCCAAAUGCACCAGGCUUUAAAUGUCUGUGUGCACAGAACUAACUGUCACAUCCUUUUGAGUCUCAUUCCUCAGGGACAUUGUAAGCCGACACACCGACAUGUGCCCACCGCACUGCCUGGAUUCUCCAUGCCAGCAUGUGUCUGUGUUAAUGGAUCCACUGAGUUCUCAAGGUACUCAAUCUAAAUAUUUACCAAGAAUUCUGAUCUAAUGCUCAUUAUCCAAAUGAAUAGUAUUUCUUCUUUAAAAAAGUGAGAUUGUUUUCAUCCAGAAUCAGCUAUUGUUUGGAGUCCAAUCAGCGUGCAAUGCAGCCUCACAUUUCCGAUGCUCGGGAUGACAGACCUCCUAUCCAACAUCCUCCUGCUGAUGGGCUCCAAAACCACACAAGCCCUGGUUGUUCAGUACUUCCAAGCCAGGGAGGUCCCUGUACAGAACAUUCCAAAUUAUAGAGACAUACUUGCUCUUCAGGACCUGGAAAUGCCACUGUUAUCUGGUGGACACGAACCCAAAGCCCAGAUAGAAGAGCCACAGUACCAAGACAGCCUCACAAUCAAGACCUGUCUGGGGAAAAGUAUCAGUGAGGAGCCAGGUUGACUCUGGCCAAAGGGGCAUGGAGAACCUUGUCCAUAGCACACUGUGACCUUCGGGAGUGAACAAGAAGGAGAGACGUGAUGGACAAAUGUCCCCAUAAGGACUGGAAACCGCUUUCUCCUGGAGCAUUGUUCUACUCAGACCUCAUAACCUUAAUGCUCACUCUGAAGCCAACCAUGGAGAAGCCCCCAGAAGACAGGAGACGUGCAUGAGACUGGAGGCAUCAGCAUGACUCUGGACAGGUGCAUGCUUCAGAUAAACUGGAAUGAGCUGCUUUAAGGAUGUU